UACGGCGAGUGAAGCGGCAAAAGCUCAAAUUUGAAAUCUGGUACCUUUGGUGCCCGAGUUGUAAUUUGUAGAAGGUAACUUUGGGGCUGGUCCUUGUCUAUGUUCCUUGGAACAGGACGUCAUAGAGGGUGAGAAUCCCGUGUGGCGAGGAUCCCAGUUCUUUGUAAAGUGCUUUCGAAGAGUCGAGUUGUUUGGGAAUGCAGCUCUAAGUGGGUGGUAAAUUCCAUCUAAAGCUAAAUAUUGGCGAGAGACCGAUAGCGAACAAGUACAGUGAUGGAAAGAUGAAAAGAACUUUGAAAAGAGAGUGAAAAAGUACGUGAAAUUGUUGAAAGGGAAGGGCAUUUGAUCAGACAUGGUGUUUUGCGCCCUCUGCUCCUUGUGGGUGGGGGAAUCUCGCAGCUCACUGGGCCAGCAUCAGUUUUGGCGGCAGGAUAAAUCUGCAGGAAUGUAGCUUGCCUCGGUAAGUGUUAUAUCCUGUAGAAAUACUGCCAGCUGGGACUGAGGACUGCGACUUUACGUCAAGGAUGCUGGCAUAAUGGUUAUAUGCCGCCCGUCUUG
rnacentral:rRNA from 1 species